rnacentral:rRNA from 1 species
CAGCAGUGGGGAAUAUUGGACAAUGGGCGAAAGCCUGAUCCAGCCAUGCCGCGUGUGUGAAGAAGGCCUUCGGGUUGUAAAGCACUUUCAGUGAGGAAGAAAGCCUUGAGGUUAAUACCCUCGAGGGAGGACAUCACUCACAGAAGAAGCACCGGCUAACUCCGUGCCAGCAGCCGCGGUAAUACGGAGGGUGCGAGCGUUAAUCGGAAUUACUGGGCGUAAAGCGCGCGUAGGCGGCUUGAUAAGCCGGUUGUGAAAGCCCCGGGCUCAACCUGGGAACGGCAUCCGGAACUGUCAGGCUAGAGUGCAGGAGAGGAAGGUAGAAUUCCCGGUGUAGCGGUGAAAUGCGUAGAGAUCGGGAGGAAUACCAGUGGCGAAGGCGGCCUUCUGGACUGACACUGACGCUGAGGUGCGAAAGCGUGGGUAGCAAACAGGAUUAGAUACCCUGGUAGUCCACGCCGUAAACGAUGUCGACUAGCCGUUGGGCUCCUUGAGAGCUUUGUGGCGCAGUUAACGCGAUAAGUCGACCGCCUGGGGAGUACGGCCGCAAGGUUAAAAACUCAAAUGGAAUUGACGGGGACCCGCACAAGCGGUGGAGCAUGUGGUUUAAUUCGAUGCAACGCGAAGAACCUUACCUACCCUUGACAUCGAGAGAACUUUCCAGAGAUGGAUUGGUGCCUUCGGGAGCUCUCAGACAGGUGCUGCAUGGCUGUCGUCAGCUCGUGUUGUGAAAUGUUGGGUUAAGUCCCGUAACGAGCGCAACCCUUGUCCCUAUUUGCCAGCGAUUCGGUCGGGAACUCUAGGGAGACUGCCGGUGACAAAUUGGAGGAAGCGGGGGACGACGUCAAGUCAUCAUGGCCCUUACGGGUAGGGCUACACACGUGCUACAAUGGCCGGUACAAUGGGUUGCGAAUCCGCGAGGUGGAGCUAAUCCCAUAAAGCCGGUCUCAGUCCGGAUCGGAGUCUGCAACUCGACUCCGUGAAGUCGGAAUCGCUAGUAAUCGUGAAUCAGAAUGUCACGGUGAAUACGUUCCCGGGCCUUGUACACACCGCCCGUCACACCAUGGGAGUGGACUGCACCAGA